AAGUCGUAACAAGGUUUCCGUAGGUGAACCUGCGGAAGGAUCAUUAUAAAAUAAAACAAAGCAAUCUUUGCUUUUAUAAAUAACUAUUUUAUUAGAUUAGGUAUCUAGUUAAUAACUAUUUACCGAAAUAAUUUAAUAUACUAUUGUAGAGCUUUUAGGUUUACCCUAAUAAUCUCUAUAAACCAAUAAAUCAAUAAUCCUUUAAAUUACUAGUCUAAUUAUUUAGAUAAAUAAUUUAAAGUGGUAUAGAAAGUGAGGAGUACUAUUAGAUAUAAUAUUUUAUAUUGAUAUAGGAGACUCAUGCAAAACUUUAUAACCAGAAUUCAUUUUACAUUUAUUUAAUAAAAACAAAUAACUUUUAACAAUGGAUCUCUUGGCUAAU
rnacentral:misc_RNA from 1 species